CAGGGCUUUGCAAGAGAAGGAAACAAGCAUGAGGACAUAACACAAUAUGCUGCUAGAGAGAAAAGCAGAGGGGAGAUUAUAAGACAUUGUGUGUCAAGACCAAAGAGGAUGGGCAUUAGCCAAGACCAGUGGAAAAUUCCUGGGAGAUUCAAGCAGGGCAGUGCCAUUGUGUUUCAGGAAAAUCUCUUGGCCUUUGUGGUUUGCAGGAGGUCAGAGUUGCCUACAAGGAGAAUGGGUGUUCCAGUCUUCCAGGCAAGAAAAGAUGACAGUCAUAACCAGGAGGUCACUGCAGGAGAAUGGGAGGAGGGCUGAGAAGUACCUUGGAGAUGGAGCCAAGAGAACUUGGUCCUGAAGAAAAGAGAUGGUGUCAGCAUAGAUGAAAUGAAAGGAACCCUUUCAGGCAUGAAGGGAAAGCUAACCAAGAGCUCACUCUGUGGAAGCUAAACAGUUAAUUCGCAAGAGGAAGCUGCUAAUCAAAUGAACAAGUGUGAAGUGAAAAUGCCAACCCCAGUGAAGACGCAGCCAAAGCUGGCAAAGGCAAAUGGAGAAAACGCAGGCAGCAUCAGUGAGCUGUUCCUGGAAAUGGAGUCUAACUACAUUAACGCAUUCAGACAGAGGGAAACAGAUGGUCGGUGUGAUGUCCUCAGUCACUUCACAAGCUGGAUAAAUAAUUGUUGCCAGGGAAGGAAUAAUAAAAGCAGGAUUUUGCCAACAUGAGCUGUUGCCCUGGCCUUUGGUUCCGGGAGUGCUUCUGGAGGUUUUUCCAACAGAUUUUUCAAGGAAGCAAAAAAGACAGCAAAUUACUAAGAAUGAAAUUCACUUUUUAAUUUUUCCCACUGAGUCUUCGUCAACGGAUAAUCCCUACCUAUCAAGACAUAUGACAGUUCUCUCUCAUUUCAAUGUUGUAUGCAUAAAAAGCAGCAAAUUCAGAACCUUCAUGUGAAAUGGAAUUGUAAAGGACUCUGGCUGCAACGCUAUUUGUUGAUAAAGCAAAAAUUGAUUUUCAACAGAAGUUAGAAUGAGGAAAGUCAAAUUUGGAGGACAGUGUAAAACCUCUAACAUUUUCAUGAGCUUUGAAGGUAGACUCUGCUGUUCAGAGAUUGCUCAAGACUAAACUGGUCCCUGCCGAGGUAUCUAUGGACUGUUCUGGAAGGAAAGGUACAAGGAGCUGACAUGAACCUGAUUUUUAACCUGAAGCAGACAGAGUUGGGACCAGCUGGCCUGCAGUCCUGUGAGCAAGAAAUCGAUGUGCAUACUCAUGAGUAAACCAUAAACAUUUGCUGUUAUAACCCAGGAAGCUUUGGGAGUUGAUUUUUAUGUGGUGUUAUGGCAACAAUUGUUGAUGAAUGUGGGUAUACAGUAUUGGAAGUUCUCAUGUGUCUUUGAUGGCCAGCCUCUCAGUGCUUACAGAGCUCCUCAGCCUCACCAGAUAUUUCCCACUUGAAUAAUGAAGUUGUAUGGUUGGGAAUAGACAUUUUGGCUAUUUGGGUCAAUAGGUUUAGGACCUUUGGAGGAUUCAAGACUGGUAGAAAACCACAGCAUGGUCUAAGAUGCAGGUGUUCAUGCCUGCAGGUAAGUAGAUGCAUCAUUAACUUCAAUAAUAAUAAAUAAAAUUUAAAGAGAUUUUUCGAUUAUCAUAAACUGAAUGAACUAAAAUUAACUUUCUAACAAAUAGCCACAAAUUUCUAGCGUGUUUAUCUUUCCCAUAUGUUUCCCAGCUCUGCUAAGUUGGAAGCCUCAAAACCAUCAACCAAUAAAUCAUUCCUUGGGUUUCACUUUGGGGACCAAUUAAAACUAUCAACAUGUUUUCUUCCAUUACACUGGGAGUUUUAUCUCCAGCUGUUGGGAUCUGAGCUUCUAAAAGUAUGAAGCAUGACUACCCAGGGAAAAGGCACGUGAGACAAUUGGAGGAAAAUAGACUCUAUUGAAAGCUAGUUUAUGUAAGCUUAGUGCUUCCACCCUCCUCACUUCAUUCAGAAGGCACAAGCUUUACUAAACAUGUGGUAAAUAAUACAGCUGGCACCACAGCAGGAAAGGUGCUGCCCCUAAACCUGGAGGGAGAGCUCCUGGCAGAUAAUCCAAGGGCUGGUAAUUUAUCACUUAUGCAAACACAGCACCUCUUGUGGGUCUCCUUUUACAUCUCCUGUUCUGUGAAACUUUCCACUGAAGACUUGGAUAAAUGUUUUCCAGAUGGUAUCAAUCAUGGAGUUACCUACUAAUAGGAAUCAAGGAAAAGUCAUUGAAUUAAUUAGCAAGUCAAACAGGAAAGGAAGAAGGACUGUGCUUGAAAGUAGAAAAAGAAGAGACCACUUGGAAUUAUCUAAUCAUCUAGAAACAAGGUCAUUCAGGAAAAGGGGGCUUGAUUAAGCAUCAGGAAACCUGAGACCUGGCCAACAGCCUGGUUCCUCCAAAUCACAGGCUUUGGAGUCUAACAGAUAGAGGUUAGAAUCUCAGCUCAGUCUCUAACUAUGCAUAGUGGGCAAGAUUCUUGGCCUCUCUGAGCCUCUGUUUCCUCAUAUGCUAAGGGAAAAAAGGAUGAAAUAUGCAAACUAUGUAAUACCAUUUUACAGACUUAGAUGUGUAGCAUGUGAAGCACUUAGCAAAGUGGCUACCAAUAGGCGGCACUUAAAAAAAAAAUUCUUUACUCUCACCUGUGAUCAGUUAAAUGAUUGGAAAACUAUUCACCCCUGUCUGAAACUACACCAUUGCCAUGAUCACAUCUUGAGCAGAGUGCACUUUCCCACUCCUUGCUUUGGGCUGACUACAUGAUUUGCUUAGACCAAGCAAUGUGGGUGGAAGUGACAAUGGGCUCGUUUUUAGACCAGGACUUAAGAGGCAUUAUGUUUCUACUUGCCCUUUGCACCUCCCCCAUCACCACAAGAAAAAUAUACCCAGGCUGUCUUGCUGGUCCAAGAAGGAGGAUAAAAGACACGAGAAGCAAAGCUGCCAACCCCAGGAAGCAAAGCUUCCAAACCCCUCCCAACACGAAGACAUGCGAGUGAUAAUAAAUAAUGGUUGUUUUUAGCCACUGAGUUUUGACGUGGAUUAAUUUCAGCUGCUGUAUCUCACAGAUUAUGUUAUCUCACAUUCCUUCUCUGGGUUCUAAUUGCAUAUCUGCUCAGGACUUACUAAAUGAAUAUCUUUUACAAUGCUGAUAUUAGAGGUAAGGCCCAGAAAAUGGCAAGCUAAAGAUGUCCCAGAAACUUCUACCGUAUAGUUGGCUUAAAUCUUAAACUCCAAACUUAGAUGUGUAAGAAAAGUAAUUUAACUUGGUUAUGACAAGACCUUUUUAUUUUUUAACAGUUUUAUUACAAAUCCCCUAUUUUGCUGGUUAGCAGAAACAUCUCUCAGUCAAUUCAGGGUUUCUCCUCCCUUAAGGAUUGGGUUUAACUUUAGGAGGCUCUGCAUGAUGAGGAGGUGGAAGGUGUUGGGAGGGAGAACCAGGGCACUGUCGUUCCUGUUGUUGAUCUCUGCAGUGCUCUCUCUUGGUCUACGUAAGUGAGGAUCUAAAAUCUGAUUCAUUCUUGGGUAAUCUUCUUUUAGAAGCCCAUGAUUAGACCCAACUGGAGGAAGUUUGGAGCUUCUCUCAGACAUGUAAGAAUUGUUCUGAAGAAUCUGCAUCUUGUUGGGUGAAGGACUUCAGAAUGUGCAAUAAAAAUGCAAUAGUCUUGGACCUAUGUAACUGGAAGGAACUGGUGGACAAGCUCUUACUGCUUCUCCAGGUUCUCACAAGAAAGCAGGCAUGGAUUCCUUUUGCACAGCUCCUCCAGGCUUUCUGGGCCCUGUCAUUCCUUCUUCUAUCUUCUGGGUUGAGCAACAUGCAAUCUCCCCUUGUGCAGAAGCCCAAAUAGCUACUGAAAAUGUGUCCUCUCUGACUUUCCCCAUUUCUUGAACUCUGAGAGACUUUUUCUAGUAUCAGUUCUGAGGAGCAUUGCUGUUUUCCUUCCUAUCAUCUGGAAGACCUAGACUUUAAAACUCAAAACCUGAGAAAAACUUCCUUUUUUUUCUCUCUUUUGUCUGGAUCAUCACUACCUUGAAAUACUAAAUUAGCAAAGUCCUAACUAGAAACUGAAUUGGCUAAAGAGUCAAGGAGCAACAGGUAAUUCCAAGAAAAACAACAGCAAACUUACAUCAGUUAACAUUUCAAAGCUAUUUUCCUUUGCAAUUUUGUGUAUCUGUUUUUAUGGAAUGCAAGAGAUAAUAGGCUAAAUGCUAUUUUGCAUAUGUGUUACAUUGGAUUUCUCACAUAUUCUACUACUUAACUCAAGAUGUUGAGUAAAUAAAUGAGUUAAUAAACUGGAAUUUCUAUAUCAGCUCUUGGUUCUAGUUAUGUUUCGUUUGUUUUGGAUUUUUUUUCUUUUUGAAUGCUUAUUCACUGGCCCAGCUGUAUUUAUGCCUAGAUUAACCAGAUACAUUGCCA
rnacentral:lncRNA from 10 species